AACACGUGGGUAACCUGCCUGUAAGACUGGGAUAACUCCGGGAAACCGGAGCUAAUACCGGAUAGUUCCUUGAACCGCAUGGUUCAAGGAUGAAAGACGGUUUCGGCUGUCACUUACAGAUGGACCCGCGGCGCAUUAGCUAGUUGGUGAGGUAACGGCUCACCAAGGCGACGAUGCGUAGCCGACCUGAGAGGGUGAUCGGCCACACUGGGACUGAGACACGGCCCAGACUCCUACGGGAGGCAGCAGUAGGGAAUCUUCCGCAAUGGACGAAAGUCUGACGGAGCAACGCCGCGUGAGUGAUGAAGGUUUUCGGAUCGUAAAGCUCUGUUGUUAGGGAAGAACAAGUGCAAGAGUAACUGCUUGCACCUUGACGGUACCUAACCAGAAAGCCACGGCUAACUACGUGCCAGCAGCCGCGGUAAUACGUAGGUGGCAAGCGUUGUCCGGAAUUAUUGGGCGUAAAGGGCUCGCAGGCGGUUUCUUAAGUCUGAUGUGAAAGCCCCCGGCUCAACCGGGGAGGGUCAUUGGAAACUGGGAAACUUGAGUGCAGAAGAGGAGAGUGGAAUUCCACGUGUAGCGGUGAAAUGCGUAGAGAUGUGGAGGAACACCAGUGGCGAAGGCGACUCUCUGGUCUGUAACUGACGCUGAGGAGCGAAAGCGUGGGGAGCGAACAGGAUUAGAUACCCUGGUAGUCCACGCCGUAAACGAUGAGUGCUAAGUGUUAGGGGGUUUCCGCCCCUUAGUGCUGCAGCUAACGCAUUAAGCACUCCGCCUGGGGAGUACGGUCGCAAGACUGA
rnacentral:rRNA from 1 species